GAUGAAGAACGCAGUGAAACGCGAUAUGUAAUGUGAAUUGCAGAAUUCAGUGAAUCAUCGAAUCUUUGAACGCACAUGGCGCCUUCCAGUAUCCUGGGAGGCAUGCCUGUCCGAGCGUCGUUUCAACCCUCGAGCCCCCGUGGCCCGGCGUUGGGGAUCUGCCCAGGCAGUCCCCGAAAACCAGUGGCGGACCCGUUACAGGCCCUUCCCUUGCGUAGUAGCAUUCGCCUCGCAUCGGGAGCCGGCGGGCUUCCAGCCUCUAAACCCCCAUCAAGUCCGCCCCGGCGGCACCAGGGUUGACCUCGGAUCAGGUAGGAAUACCCGCUGAACUUAAGCAUAUCAAUAAGCGGAGGA
rnacentral:misc_RNA from 1 species